AUGACGUCAAAUCAUCAUGCCCCUUAUGUUCUGGGCUACACACGUGCUACAAUGGCCGGUACAGACGGACGCAAAGCCGCGAGGUGGAGCAAAUCCUAAAAAGCCGGUCUCAGUUCGGAUUGCAGGCUGCAAUUCGCCUGCAUGAAGCCGGAAUCGCUAGUAAUCGCGAGUCAGCAUCGCGCGGUGAAUACGUUCCCGGGCCUU
rnacentral:rRNA from 1 species